UUGAGUGUGAUUGGCUCCGGCAGACAGGCAGAAGACGACCUGUUCACCGGGGCCAGAGUGUCUCCGAAAGGGCGUCUGUCCCUGACGGGCUGCAGGACAGAGGGCAGGGCCGAGAGACGAGAGGCACGGGAAGAAGAAGAAAGAGCGGAGGGGACAGCGGGGCGGCCCACAGCCGGCACGCUCCUCGGCUCUGACGGAGCUCCGCUUGUGCCUCGGCAAACAGACAGAUCGGCGUGAACCAAGCUGGUUACGUAAACCCACCACUGCUCCGCUGGGUCUGCAGCGCUCUGCUCAGGGAGGCACAGGGUGGCCUUGCCACCAGGUUACGCAACAGGUGCGCAUGUGCUGGCAGGUUGUUGCUCACUCUCGGAGCGCCGUACGGACACUGAAUAUUUUCAUUUUUAUGCGCACACACACACACACACACACACA